rnacentral:misc_RNA from 1 species
GUGGUCUCAAGUCCCAAUUGAUACUCCCUUUUGUAAUCAUAACUUAUAUAGCAUAGUUUUUCUUUGAUUUCCCUUACAGUCUCAAAAUCAGCAGUCCUAUUCAUUGCAUACCCUCUCCGUGAAAGUAAAUCAACAAGAUAGGAAGUAAUGUGCCGACCAGCUACAUUCAUUCGCUUAGUCAGAUGAGGAAAUGAGUAGCCAUCAACAACAGGGACCACAUGAGUGACACCAUCCCCGGAGUCGAUGACCAAUCCCGUCAGUAAACCUUGGGCAUACAACGUUAAAACAGCCUGGAUUUGAAUGAAGACACCGGCAAAGUUGUAUUUCUCAAACAUGGUCUCAACCAUUUUUUCACGAUUCUUUGAGGGAUUAAGAGGUGGGUCUGUGAGUAAAAUCUUACAUUCUGUUGGGUCUAUUUUAAGUUCAUUGAAAAAUGCAUGGUCCCACACAUGACCCAUGUCAUCCCAGUUCUGAAUUAUUCCAUUGUUAACAGGAUAAGAUAUAUCCAGUUGAUGCCUCAAGUCAGCGCAAGCUUCUCCAACUGCAAUAUCCUUCAACUGUUCUUCCAUGAGAGAUUCUUCAUACCGUAGCAUAGGCCUCCCCACCACACAAGGGAAUACAGAGGUGGGAAAAUUCUCUCCAGCAAAUCCACACUUGACAUACCCAGUGCCAUUGUCACAGACGACGACGUUUCUGUUGUCCAUGGCGCGAUAGUG